AUUGCUUCUUCUUCUUCUUCUUCCAU
rnacentral:sRNA from 1 species